rnacentral:rRNA from 1 species
GAUGAACGCUGGCGGCGUGCCUAAUACAUGCAAGUCGAGCGAACAGAUGAGAAGCUUGCUUCUCUGAUGUUAGCGGCGGACGGGUGAGUAACACGUGGGUAACCUACCUAUAAGACUGGGAUAACUCCGGGAAACCGGGGCUAAUACCGGAUAAUAUUUUGAACCGCAUGGUUCAAUAGUGAAAGACGGUUUCGGCUGUCACUUAUAGAUGGACCCGCGCCGUAUUAGCUAGUUGGUAAGGUAACGGCUUACCAAGGCGACGAUACGUAGCCGACCUGAGAGGUGGAUCGGCCACACUGGAACGGAGACACGGUACAGACUCCUACGGGAGGGAGCAGUAGGGAAUCUUCCGAAAUGGGCGAAAGCCUGACGGAGCAACGCCGCGUGAGUGAUGAAGGUCUUCGGAUCGUAAAACUCUGUUGUUAGGGAAGAACAAAUUUGUUAGUAACUGAACAAGUCUUGACGGUACCUAACCAGAAAGCCACGGCUAACUACGUGCCAGCCGCCGCCGUAA